rnacentral:lncRNA from 1 species
GUCUGAUUCAUCUGAAAAUUUCAGGGCAGAUAGAUCUUGACCUGAUAAACAAUAUUACCCAUGUCAGAUUUGCUCUAAAUGCUUUGGUUUUUGAGAUAUAAGCCAAAAACUGCAUUUGACCCCUAUGUUCUAUUUUUAGCAAUGGCGACCAUGUUUGUUGAUAGAUCAUAACUUCGGAUACAAUUUACAAACUAGAUACCCCAAGGAACAUUCAAUUAAAGUUUGGAAGUAUUUGGCCCAGUAGUUUCAGAGGAGAAGAUUUUUGUAAAAGAUUACUAAGAUUUACGAAAAAUGGUUAAAAAUCGACUAUAAAGGGCAAUAACUCCCAAAGGGGUCACUUGACCAUUUCCGUCAUGUUGACUUAUUUGUAAAUCUUACUUUGCUGAACAUUAUUCCUGUUUACAGUUUAUCUCUAUCUAUAAUAAUAUUCAAGAUAAUAACCAAAAACAGCAAAAUUUCCUUAAAAUUACCAAUUCAGGGGCAGCAACCCAACAACGGGUUGUCUGAUUCAUCUGAAAAUUUCAGGGCAGAUAGAUCUUGACCUGAUAAACAAUAUUACCCCAUGUCAGAUUUGCUCUAAAUGCUUUGGUUUUUGAGUUAUAAGCCAAAAACUUCAUUUGACCCCUAUGUUCUAUUUUUAGCAAUGGCAACCAUGUUUGUUGAUAGAUCAAAACUUCGGAUACAAUUUAUAAAUUAGAUACCCUAAGGAACAUUCAGUUAAAGUUUGAAAGUAUUUGCCCAGUAGUUUCAGAGGAGAAGAUUCUUGAAAUAGUUUACGACGACAGACGACGGACGACGACGGACGCCAAGUGAUGGCAUAAGCUCACUUGUCCCUUCGGGACAGGUGAGCUAAAAAAG